GGUUUCCGUAGGUGAACCUGCGGAAGGAUCRUUG
rnacentral:rRNA from 1 species